UUUCUCGAAAAUAAAAGAUCUAAGUAAAUUAAAAAGUUUUUGUGUCAAAAAAAUUUUAUAAAUUUAUUUAGGUGUGAAAUUCUAAUCGCUUUUAUUAAUAUCUAGUUGCUUUAGAAAUAAAUUUAGUUUAGAAUGUUUAGAAUAAACCUAUUUUAAAAUCAUUUUUAGAUUUUAGGGGAUGAGCUCUAAAAUUUUUUAUAAGAGUAAAUUUAGAUUGCUUUUUUCAUAGGCUUAGAAUUAGCCAUUUGAAAGUGUUUUAAAAUAAAAUUUUAAGUUUAAGAUUUAAUACUCUUUUAUUUAUAUAAAGCAAAUUUCAAAAUUUUUGAAAAAGUGAAAAUAUGAUAACAUUAGUAGAAUUUAUUUUAAAAUUUUCUAUAUAAUUUAAAAAAAUUAAUUUAACAAAAGAACUCGGCAAAUAAAAUUUCCGAAUGUUUAUCAAAAACAUUUCCUCUUAGUUUAAGAGGUAAGGCCUGCUCACUGAAUUAUUUUAAAGAGCCGCAGUAUCCUAACUGUGCUAAGGUAGCAUAAUCAUUAGUCUUUUAAUUGGAGACUGGUAUGAAUGGCUAAACGAGAAAUUGACUUUUUUUGUUAUAAAUAAUUGAAUUUAAUUUUUUAGUGAAAAAGCUAAAAUUAUUCAGAAAGACGAGAAGACCCUAUAGAGUUUUAUACUAAAUUUUUUAUUUUUCUUAUUUGAUUUUUUUUGGAUAAAUAAAUGAAAAGUAUUUUGUUGGGGCGACAUUAAGAUAAAAAAAACUCUUUAUUUUUUUAAUUUUUAUAAAAAGAAAGUUUGAUCCUUUAUAAGAGAUUAAAAGAUAAAAUUACCUUAGGGAUAACAGCGUAAUCUUUUUUGAGAGUUCUAAUCGACAAAAAGGUUUGCGACCU
rnacentral:rRNA from 1 species